UACGGGGGGGGCAAGCGUUGUUCGGAAUUACUGGGCGUAAAGGGCUCGUAGGCGGCCAACUAAGUCGGGCGUGAAAUCCCUCAGCUUAACUGGGGAACUGCGUCCGAUACUGGAUGGCUCGAGUUUGGGAGAGGGAUGCGGAAUUCCAGGUGUAGCGGUGAAAUGCGUAGAUAUCUGGAGGAACACCGGUGGCGAAGGCGGCAUCCUGGACCAACACUGACACUGAGGAGCGAAAGCCAGGGGAGCAAACGGG
rnacentral:rRNA from 1 species